rnacentral:rRNA from 1 species
GUAGGUGGCAAGCGUUGUCCGGAAUUAUUGGGCGUAAAGCGCGCGCAGGCGGUUCUUUAAGUCUGAUGUGAAAGCCCACGGCUCAACCGUGGAGGGUCAUUGGAAACUGGAGAACUUGAGUACAGAAGAGGAAAGCGGAAUUCCACGUGUAGCGGUGAAAUGCGUAGAGAUGUGGAGGGACACCAGUGGCGAAGGCGGCUUUCUGGUCUGUAACUGACGCUGAGGCGCGAAAGCGUGGGGAGCAAACAGGGAUUAGAUACCCCGGUAGUCCACGCCGUAAACGAUGAGUGCUAAGUGUUAGGGGGUUUCCCGCCCCUUAGUGCUGCAGCUAACGCAUUAAGCACUCCGCCUGGGGAUACGGCCGCAAGGCUG